AAGUGGGAAACAAAAAGGAGGAGAGAAAACCCUAAAAAAAAAACGGCGGUGGAACUCUCCGAGUGUUUGAGACUGAAGCGACUGAGAAGCGUAGACGCAAAUGGAAAUGACAAAAGACUUAUUGAGGGUAACAGAGACAGAAGGGAGAGGGAGGGCGUUGGUGGCGGCUCAGCCACUGAAGGGCGGUCAAAUCGUUCUCAGAGACUCUCCAAUCCUCCUAUACUCUGCUCUUCCUCUCAUCUCUCCUUCUCUUCACCCUUACUGUAACCACUGCUUCAAAACCCUAAAGCAACCUCAACCUCAAGCUGCUGGUUCUUCAGCUUGUGUAUGUCCAUGGUGUUCACACCAUGCCUUCUGCAGUUCCAAUUGCCUCUCCUCUGCUCUCUCCUAUUCCCACUCUCCUUGGGUCUGCCAAGCCCUCCGCCGCCUCCGCGACUCCCCUUCCCCUCUCUCCGACCAACCGCUGGAGCGUCAGGUCCAGGCCCGCUUCCUCAUCGCCGCCUACAACCUCGCAAUCGUUUCCCCGUCCAAUUUCCAGAUGCUCUUGUCUCUCCAGGGCCAGCCAGACGACUCGGCCGCCGCCGACACCACCGCGGCUGCCCACUUUCUGCAUUAUCUCAUCUCUUCCCUCUGCGCUCCUCCUCCCGCUCUCCAAGAGCGGCAGCUGUUUUCGGCGGAGCUCUCGGCGGCUCUGCUGGCCAAGGACAAGCUAAAUGCCUUUGGAUUAAUGGAGCCCUUCUCGGAAACUUCGCAGAGGUCCAGCAGAGCCUACGCCAUUUAUCCAAAGGCUUCAUUCUUCAACCACGAUUGUCUCCCCAAUGCCUGCAGAUUCGAUUAUGUCGACGCUGACGGCGACCACAACACCGAUAUGGUGAUCAGGAUGAUCCAUGAUGUUCCGGCGGGAAGGGAGAUUUGCUUGAGCUAUUUUCCGGUGAACCAGAGUUAUUCUAGCCGGCAGAGGACUUUGGCGGAGGACUAUGGGUUUGCUUGUCAAUGUGAUCGCUGCAAGGUCGAAGCCAAUUGGUCUGAUAAUGAGGAAAACAUUGAGGGUGAGGAAGAAGCAGAGGGCAUGGACGAGGACCAAGACCAGGAAAUGGAAGCAGCCUCAGAAUCAGAACCAGAGUCAGGUAGUGACAUUGAAGAAGCCCAAGCCCAAGCCCAAGUGGAAUCUGAUUUCCCACACGCCUAUUUCUUCCUCAGUUUCAUGUGUAAUAGAACCAAUUGCUGGGGCACUCUGGCCCCUUUGCCCCCAAAAGAUGAUGGAACUCCUUCUAAUGUAAUGGAAUGCAAUGUCUGUGGCAACCUGAAGAAAGAUGAAGAGAUCAGUGGUCAUGGUCGUGAUGGGCUCUCAAUCGAUGGCUAAAUUAACUGCUCUCUUGGUUGCUUGCUGGCUUUCUGCUUCAAGAGAUCAAAAAUUGGUGCACCAUGAUCCUCUCAGUUAAAGAAAUCAUAAACAGCCUUAGAGGUUUUGGAGGUUUCUUUUGCAGUGGUUACGCCUCUAUCAAUGCGAUGGAAGCAUUUGGUGAAACAGUGGGUGGCAAUCGCCAACAGCAAUCAUUCAAAGUUUGUGCCCCGAUUACGUGGCGGGAUCGUAUGCUUAGGCAGUAAGAUUUUGCUUUACUCAAAAGAAACUCAUGGCAAUCGAUCCAAUUGCAAGCAAAGAGGGAAUGUGGACAAAGCACUACCAAUUUUAUGAAGCUAAAAGAAAAAACCACUGAUUGGAAAUUUUUCCUGUUUUUGUUGUAAUAUGCGUUAUAUUUGGUUUUGGUAAACCCACUAGCCCUUCCUUUAACUGCUCCAACCUUGAUCGAAUCUAAUACGUAGACACCUUCCUAAUCACACGUUCACAUUCUAUGGUGGCGAUGGUGAAUCAGCCCACUAGCUGUUUGGAGUUUUGGACCACCACCGUGCUUAUUUGCAUACCCAACCAACCCCAAUGGUUUUUUGAGGAAAGAAAUAGGUAACAUAAUAACAUGCUUCAUAUUAUUCUUUUUUUAUCACCGCCUUGCGCUCUACACCCUCACGUUGGUUCCAGCUUUUAGGCACAAAACCUAACUUACAGAGGUAACUUUUCUCUGUGUUUGUCUCUACGUGCGCAAUGGCCUGCAAAAGAAAUUAGGAAUAUUGCAUUUCAGGAC